GUGCUCGCUUCGGCAGCACAUAUACUAAAAUUGGAACGAUACAGAGAAGAUUAGCGUGGCCACUGUGGGAAGCCAAACAUUGGGUCGCACGGAUUCUU
rnacentral:snRNA from 1 species